rnacentral:rRNA from 1 species
ACUCUAGCUUGAUACUGGGGUUCGGUAUUGCAUGUACAGGAUAGGUGGGAGACGAAGAGGCAGUGACGCCAGUUGCUGCGGAGUCGAUGUUGGGAUACCACCCCUGCAGUACUGGGCUUCUAACCUGCAGCCGUGACCCGGCUGGGGGACAAUGUCUGGUGGGGAGUUUGACUGGGGCGGUCGCCUCCGAAAGAGUAUCGGAGGCGCUCAAAGGUUCCCUCAGAAUGGUUGGAAACCAUUCGAAGAGCGCAAAGGCAGAAGGGAGCUUGACUGCGACACCGACGGGUGGAGCAGGUACGAAAGUAGGACUUAGUGAUCCGGUGGUAUGAAAGUGGGAUUGCCAUCGCUCAACGGAUAAAAGCUACCCUGGGGAUAACAGGCUUAUCACUCCCAAGAGUUCACAUCGACGGAGUGGUUUGGCACCUCGAUGUCGGCUCAUCGCAUCCUGGGGCUGUAGUAGGUCCCAAGGGUUGGGCUGUUCGCCCAUUAAAGCGGUACGCGAGCUGGGUUCAGAACGUCGUGAGACAGUUCGGUCCCUAUCCGGCGUGGGCGUAGGAUAUCUGAGAGGAGCUGUCCUUAGUACGAGAGGACCGGGAUGGACUGACCUCUGGUGCACCGGUUGCAUUGCCAAAUGCAUAGCCGGGUAGCCAAGUCGGGACGGGAUAAACGCUGAAGGCAUCUAAGCGUGAAGCCCCCCUCAAGAUGAGAUAUCCCAUAACAUAAGUUAGUAAGACCCCUUGAAGACGACGAGGUAGAUAGGCAGAAGGUGGAAGUGUGGUGACAUAUGGAGCUGAUCUGUACUAAUAGGUCGAGGGCUUAACCAAG